rnacentral:tRNA from 1 species
GGGUCGAUGGCGUAGUUGGUUAUCGCAUCUGUCUAACAUUUGUGAUCACAGAAGGUCCUCAGUUCGAACCUGGGUCGACUCA